AGUAUAUGAAAUUUUACUUUGAGAAAAUUAGAGUGCUUAAAGCAGGCAUAUGCCUUGAAUACUCCAGCAUGGAAUAAUAUUAAAGAUUUUUAUCUUUCUUAUUGGUUCUAAGAUAAGAAUAAUGAUUAAUAGGGACAGUUGGGGGCAUUUGUAUUUAACAGUCAGAGGUGAAAUUCUUAGAUUUGUUAAAGACAAACUAAUGCGAAAGCAUUUGCCAAGGAUGUUUUCAUUAAUCAAGAACGAAAGUUAGGGGAUCGAAGACGAUCAGAUACCGUCGUAGUC
rnacentral:rRNA from 1 species